GCGAUUCCCUUAGUAGUGGCGAGCGAAAAGGGAGAAGCCCAGCGCAGAAUCUCCCGGGCUACCAAGCCCGCGGCGAAAUGUUGCGUAUAGGGAAAGGUCGAUUAUAGCCUCGUGCACCCGUCUGAUGUGCCUAAUCGUGUCCUGAAAUGUUCACGCAAGUUGGGUACUCAUCUUUCGGGGUGACAACUCAAUACACGGUACCAUGGAGGGUGCAAGCCCCGUAUGGCCGCGUGAGUGUGUACGAAGGCUAGACCUCUCUUCCCUGAGAGUCGCGUUGCUUGAACAUGCAGCGCUAAGCAGGAGGUAAACUCCUCCUAAGGCUAAAUAUAUCCACAGAACCGAUAGCGAACAAGUACCGUGAGGGAAAGUUGAAAAGCACUCUGGAGAGAGGGUGACAAGACCGUGAGACCGUUCAGGGCAAAAGCCGAUGUCGAGUAUCCUAGUUGCGCUGGGACCAGGUUUCGGCCUGAAGCGAUUCUUCUUCUGUCGUUCGGAGUUAAGCUGUUUCACGACGGCUCUUCGUCGGUGGAUGUGUAACGUGAAUCGCUUAGCGUCCAUUAACAGCCCGCCGUGACUCUUGCGAGGUCAAUCGUGGUAGUAUGGGUAUGAUGCGAGUCUCUUCCUUAAGGGUUGAUACUGUCGGAGGUCGUGCUAUUGCGGGUUGCACUUAGUAGCGUCGUUCGGACGCGAAAUUUGUGUUCGCAGUGCGCGUCGGUACGUUGUGCCUCCAUAGUUGAUUCCUGGUUGUGAGUCGUCUUAUCCGCUGCCAAUGCGAUUCCGAUCCUCCGCGAGAAGUUAUUAAGACUCUGUUCGCACGUUGUCGUUGAUACCUUAGAGCGUCAGCUUAACUGGUUUCUCUGAUGCGUGCGUUCGUGUCGGCGGUAUGCCUAGGUGACAUCGGUCACGUCUCGAAACACGGGCCAAGGAGCAUAGCGUAAAGCCAAGUCCGACGGUUUCUCGAAACCUCGUGGCGAUAGUGAAAGCGAUCGUGCGGGUGUUUAUCACCCGUGAGAGUAAGAGCCUAGAGUUCCGGGCAACCGAGAUUCGAAGCUCUUGCCGCCUUCUAGUCAGGGCUGAUCCUCGAGUUCUUCACGGAACGAUGAGGCGCAAGCCCCGGGCCCGUUCGUAGUACGGCGUCUUGAUUUCGGUCUUGACGUUGUCAGAGCGGGCACCGAGUAGGCUUUACGCUAUGACCCGAAAGAUAGUGAACUAUGCUUGGCGAAGACGAAGCCCCAGGAAACUGUGGUGGAAGUCUGUAGCCGUUUUGACGUGCAAAUCAAUGGUGUCAGCUGAGCAUAGGGGCGAAAGACCAAUCGAACUAUCUAGUAGCUGGUUCCAUUCGAAGUUUCUCUCAGGAUAGCUUGCGUGCGUUCAGCGUUGAAGUCUGAGCUCUCGUAUACGAAAGCGUACGGGUGGUUCGUCCCUUUGCUGUGGUUGUUACUAGAGAGUUAGAGCGAGAAUUCCUCACUCGUAUCUCCCAUGCCGGGGUAGCCUAUCACUUUAACCGUGUGCAGUUACGUCCGGUAAAGAGAAUGAGUAGAGUUAGCUCGCUGCUCCUAGAGCUGCGGCAGCGGGGCGUUCUACGCCUCGCACUAUUAUCAAACUUUAAAUGGGCGAGGUGCUCGGCAUUGUCUUAAUUGAUUGAUGCUGGGACGAAAUACGUCUUGACCGUGUACGUCGAGUCGAAGGUGAAUGCGUGCGCGCAAAGUGGGUCCGUUCUGGUAAGCAGAACUGAUAAUGAGGGAUGAACCUAACGCACGUGCUAAGGGGCCAAAAUGACAGCUUUUUCUCGAAACCAUUGGAAAGGUGUUGCUUGCUGAAGACAGCAGGACGGUGGUCAUGGAAGUCGAUAUCCGCUAAGGAGUGUGUAACUACUCAUCCUGCCGAAGCGAGUAACCCUGAAAAUGGAUGGCUCUAUAGCUCUCUCCCGAUGCACGGCCGUCAGUGGCACUAAGAGGCACUUGUGUCUCUAAGCCCUGACGAGUAGAAUGGUGUGCUGCAUUGCUGCGACGACUUUCGCGUGAGCGUGGUCAGAGCGUGUAGCAGUACAGAUCUUGGUGGUAGUAGCAAGUACUCUGGUGAAUAACCUUGAGCUGUGAGGCUGAUAAGGGUUCCAUGUCAACAGCGUUUGUACAUGGGUAAGUCGCUCCUAAGGCCCCAUUAUCCGUAAUGGUGAUUGCGUAUGCUAAUGGGAGAGUCAAGGGUGUGUUUUGACUGAUGGGUUGUUGUUUCGGAUGCGGACGAUACGCGCAUAAAGGUGGUUGCAAACAAUAGACUAGCGAGAUGGAAGUGUUGUUGCGAUAACUGCACGAACAGCCGAAUGUACUGGUUCAAGCCUGCUAUGAGUCGAUGACUCGACGUCUUUGCUGUAGCGAGAAAGAAGCUCCUGUCGUUCCUCUUUGUGUUGUCGGAAUGGUGACGUGUCGGAAAGGUAGACGCUAAUGUUGCAAUAUACAAAGGCAUGCUAUCGAGUACGAAUGCACUAACCUGGGAAGACGAGGAUGACCGGGAGAAUGUCUUUGUCCGAUGCUUAGAUGGAGAGGAUUCGUCGAGUGGUGCGGAGUGGCGUGUGUUUUUGGUGUGUUGCGGUAAUUGCGUCCAUCGACCGAGUCUGCGUUUGCUGUGCCUUUAGUGUUGAUUGUCUGCGACCGAGCUGUCAGUCGGGCGCACGCUGAGCUUUUCUCUUGUGUCGCUUGCCGAAAGGGAACUGCGGACUCAGUUCGUAGACCACACCUGGUACCCUGAAACGGUCUACCGUAUUCACGGACCUAGCAAUAGUUGCCAGGCCAGUCGUUGUCAUAGGUAGCUCGGCGGGGAGAUUUCUUCUCUCUUUGAUAAGGCGUUAUUACCCUGAAAACACCUCGCGUGGCGGAAGGGUAAUGCCUUGUUUUAGCAGAAUACUCAUCUCCCUCGAGUAGUCCGACGCUAUCUGUGAUCCGUGAAAAGGUGGUCGAGGGGUAUUCCCAAGUGAUAAUGACUCAAGUCGUUGUGGUGGCUACCGGGAUGACAUCGCAUUGCGCGGUGUUGUUCGUUGUGGUGGUGGCUACUACUGUGCGACCGAAGGUUGAUGUCAUCUUGGACACUUUACACGAGUGUUAACCAGGGCGUGUGCGUACCCAUAUCCGCAUCCGUCUCAAA
rnacentral:rRNA from 1 species